UUGAUGGCUGCCCCAAGCUGAGAGCUCUCCCACGACAGCUUGGACAGGAGGCCACCUGCUUGGAAGAGCUCGGAUUGAGAGGAGCAAGCAGCUUGAAGGUGGUGGAGGACC